CAGCAUUGGAGACUGAGUUCAUGCAUAGGUUCCCAGGUAGAAGAAACAUGUCCUAAGCUCCCGACUGAGAAUCUGAAUGGAUUGGACUUCCCACCAGAAAGUCUUGAAGCUACGGAACAAUGGAGCCAUGCCUUCAAAAUUCUAAGGGAAAGUGAUUUCUAAGCGACAACUGUAUACUGAACCGAACAAGAUCAUUCAAGUGUGAUAGAACGAAAGACUUUUUCUACAUACUACAAAGAAUCAAUCAUAAAGUUUCUCUCUCAUGCUCUCUUUGACAGGAAGUAAGUGGCAAAUUAAAUGUGCACUUGCUGCACAAAAAUAAGACCGCAAGUCAAAGGAGGUGAGAAGUUUUCCACAACACAGAGGCUUCAGCAUCAGUAAGAGGCAAACAUUGGUGAAGGAUGUUGUUGAAGGGAGACCCUGGGAUGACAGGUGGACAAAGGGCGAUUGCGGCCUCCUCACAGAUAGAAUUCUCAGUGUGGAAACUGGAGCAGCUCUUCUCUCCAGCUUAUCUCUUAACUCAGGCUAAUGGACAGCAAAACCACCCUUCAGGCAAUAGUGAAUGAUGUGACAAGACCUCCAGUUGGACCAGAUGACCCAGACCAGUUUGAACUAAACCCCUGACUUGCACCUGCACAGAGGGGCCAUGGAGUAACCUCUGGAAUGACCAACAAUCACCUUUACCUCAUUAUAAUACUAAGAUCUCCAUUCAAGGAGGGAACACCAGCCUCAUUUACAUAACAUGUAUGUGUAGGCAUGUUCCUUUGAGGCCCAUGCAUGACCUUAGGCCCACCUCUGCAUAUGAUGACAAGACUUCCUCAUCUAAACAUUCAUCUUAACCCUAAACAAAAGAAACCCAAUCACCCUUGCUUGAAGAGUCAGGGGUUUGGAAGUUAUUCCUUGCCAUCUCCUGAUUUGCUGCAAAUAAAGUUUCCUUUGUGUGACAA